rnacentral:rRNA from 1 species
GACCUGGGCUACACACGUGCUACAAUGGGAAGUACAACGAGUCGCGAAGUCGCGAGGCUAAGCUAAUCUCUUAAAGCUUCUCUCAGUUCGGAUUGCAGGCUGCAACUCGCCUGCAUGAAGCCGGAAUCGCUAGUAAUCGCGGAUCAGCACGCCGCGGUGAAUACGUUCCCGGGCCUUGUACACACCGCCCGUCACACCACGAGAGUUUGUAACACCCGAAGUCGGUGAGGUAACCUUUUGGAGCCAGCCGCCUAAGGUGGGAUAGAUGAUUGGGGUGAAGUCGUAACAAGGUAGCCGUAUCGGAAGGUGCGGCUGGAUCACCUCCUUU